rnacentral:misc_RNA from 1 species
GCUGCUGUGCUGUUGCAUCCUUCAUUUGUCUCUGUAGAUGAUAUCAGGGCGGUUGAGGUUCCUAUUGCAAUACUAGGAGCCGAGAAUGACCAUCUUUCUCCUCCAGCACUUCUGAAACAAUAUGAAGAGGUCCUAGCUGCUAAACCUGAGGUUGACCGCCAUGUGAAGAUAUUUCCCAAGGUCGCUCAUGGUUGGACAGUGAGGUAUAAUGUUGAAGAUGAAACUGCUGUGAAACCUGCAGAGGAGGCCCAUGGAAACUUGUUGGAGUGGUUCACCAAGUAUGUUAAGUGAAUCACUAGUGAAAACAAUAAAGAUUACGUAUGUUAUGUAGAACUUCUAGUCUUGGCCUGUUAAGAGUACUGCAGUAUAUUAUUAUGGUGUUAAAUAAAAGGCUGAAUAGUUGUUGAUGAUGGAAUUGUAAGAGUAGAAAUUUGGCAAACUAUGGAAAGUCUGUUGCAAGCGUUGGACAUGUGUGCAAUAAAUCUGGAGGAAUGUGUUUCCAGUUUGCAAAUUUCAUGGGAGAACCUUCUUAUUUUUAUUAUUAUUUUUUUCCUGGAAAUUGCAUGAUUUGCAAUAGUGCUGGACUUAAUAUGCUUAUUCAAACUCAUGCAAAGUUUUACCAAAGCCUCCGAAAAAAGCUGCAGGAUUGUCAUAUAUCUUUAGACGUAUAUUGCAUCUGCUAACACUACCCGUUAAGUCUCUGAUGUGAUUCAAAGUGGUGCACGGCUCCUGGCUUUCUUGGAUUUCAAGUCACCAGUUUGCUCUUGCACGUCUCAGUAAAACCUGCAGGAACCACAGACGUAGCAAAUAUGGAGUUAUCCAAGUAGAGAAUGCACAUCACAGCUGCCCUUGUCUUUCUCUUCGCACCGUGCGUCGUAAUUGUAUGGCUGAAGAAGAUCCUGAUUCUCAAGUAGUGUAGAGCAUCAGAAUCCUUUCGAGAAAGUUGAUUAUUCACUAAUGCUGAUUUCCAAAUGUGUGGUUCUCAUAAUGGUUUAUUAUUGUGGGCCUUGGCUGUCCAAAAGGCUUCCUACCGUGGAAUCCAGCGACCAUGGAAUACUAUAGUAGAAUUUAAUCUUUUAUUUUAUUAUUAUAUUUCUAAUUUGUGAACAUUUUUUAUAAUCCCUGAGUGGAUUUUAACCAAUGUUACUAAUAAUAAUUGCAAGAUCCUCUGGCAACAUUAGCCAGGGCCCAUGACCACCACGACGAGGUUGGCGGGACCUCAGGCGCUUUAAAGGCAUGUGGACAACACGCUUGGCCACCGAUUCAACACCAACGCGGCCUGUCAGGCUGUCAGUUAUGUGGAUCCGACUACGAAGGUCAAUCACUGGCUUGCAUCAUAGAGUAAGCGCGUGGAUCAGAC